rnacentral:lncRNA from 1 species
GGUUAACCAACCCAAUCGAUUCAACAUGUUUAGUCCUUUAUGAUCCCACACUCCUAGUCAUAUGAGCUAAAAUGUUGCACAUUUAAUCUUUGGGAAGAUAUAAAGAAAAAGACAUAUAUAGAUAGAUUAUCUUUCCAUUAGGUUGAGCGAUCUGAUCUGGCAAAUGUUUUAAAUGCUACACUCAUGAACUUAUCACCCAUCAACUUUGUCUUGCUCCCUAUGCUUAAGGUUAGAGAAGAACAAAUACACUUUUGGUUCUAUUGGUGUUUUCCACCAACAGGGCCCAUACACUUGAUCUCUGCCUUGUCUCUAUGAGCAGGUAUACUUGGAGCAAAACAUGGAGGAUUUUUCAACUCCCAGACUCCACCAAGUGAAGGACGUGGAUCUAUGAGCACAAACACGCUGAGCAAGAUACUACCAACGCCGCACUUCGAACUGCUGGACAAACGAAGAACAUGGGUGACACCGUAUCAAGAGGAGCAGACGUCAAGGUCUACACCUGAAUCAAAUGACGCACCUAAAGAAUGAACACGGUGAGAAGUCUUGUUCAGAAGACUUAAAACAUUGAACCCUCGCCGAAAGGUAAAAUCAGUAGUUAUCCAUAUUUAUCCUUUCUGCAUUCCCUUUUCCCUUUAAAUUAUUUACUUUCCUUAAAUGGCUUGUUAGUUAAUCAUGCUAUCUUGAAAAGAAAAUAAAAAUGUUAGUAAGCCCCAUAUGAGUAUGCUCGUGGCAUAAAACCCAUAAGUACAUUCACUGUGGUGGCGUAAAAAUAAAUAUAUUCCUGUCCUAUAAAAAUGAAAAUAUAAAUAAAUUUAUGAUCCUACCAAAGAGAGUAAUAUUUUUUAGAGGUAGCUCAACAUGAUAAAGGCUAGAUAUUUAUGCUAACACUUAACUAGUUCCACAAAGCUUUGUUGUCUAUUUGAGCUCUGCAGAAUUUAAGGAUCAAAGAAGACUAGCAGACGGAGGACAUCCUAAUCGUUGUCAGGGUACUGCCGACAUUCAAAUACACCCCCGCCACCUGCUAGCUACAUCAGAAGAAAUUACGUCAAAAUCCAGCUUGGGGGAGAGCACCCCCAUUUAUCCAGCUAAGUGUUUCUACGCAUGUUUAUACUUUACUCAAAUAAUAAAAAGAUGCAUAAUCAUAAAAACCAAAAUAAAGAUUUUGUGCUUAUAUAUAUCUAUGCUUAGUUUGCUAAAUAAAUAAAUAAAGUUUGCUAUGAACCCUCAUGAUAAGCUCUCACAUGGAAAUGAUGAAUAGUUGCUUUGCCAUGACUAGUCCUCAAAAUUAAAUUCUCUCUCAAGUUUAGGCAUGACUGUUAUGAAUUAAGACUUGCUCUAAACCUGAACUUGUGGGAAGAGUACUUGAUCUAAAGUCUAAGUUGUUAAUAGAUAUGAUAUGGCAAGGUUGAGCUGCUAUUUAUCUGUUCCUAGAGAUGCUAAAAUUCUGGAGAAUUUUAUCUUUGAAAAUAUUUAAAAUGUUGCAUGAUGAGUUCCUGUAUGAUGAGAGUUUAAAAUCCUACCACAGCCAUAUAUACAUACUUGUUAGACUAUGAACCAUACAUUUACUUUUUACUACUUAUGAGCAUCGAGUGUGGUCAAGCUGUGUAGACCCUUAGGAGCUUGUCUUGCGGUUAAAAUCAAGAUUCACUUGCACGUUCACUCAUACAUGUUGCUUCUACUCUGGAAGUACGCAUCUACAUACAUCCAUUCAUUUCCAUCUCCAGAUUUAUCCAAAAUUAUUCUACUCCUAUCCAGGAGAGAAUAGCCAAAAACAUUAUCCUAUCCCUGUUAUUCCCCGUGACAUAAAUGCUCGAGAUAUUUUGGUUACUACCACUUGCUACAUUAUUCCAAGAGGGUGAGUGCUCUAAAAAAGAGAGUGAAUACGAGGAAAUAAAAAGGGGCAAGUGCCCGAAAUCUUGAAGAAAAGAAAAAGUGAGACGAAAGGUAAAAAUGGACAAGUGUCCGACGGUAGAAUUAGGGGUACAAGAUACCCACCUGAGAGAAAUGAAAAAAAAAGAAAAUAAAAUAUAGAGCAUCUCAUUCCCCUCAAAAAGCUUCAAAGUGCAAGAAAGUUAUGUAUUCCCUCAAAAGAGCAAAAGUAGAAUUAGACUUUGACCAUUAUUUUCACCAUUAUCACCAUCAUCACCAACACCAUUCAUCUGCCACACAUGCACAUCUUGAUUUGACUUAUUGACUUGUUUCUCUGGAUCCAUGGUUUGACUAUGCAAUAAAUGUCUUGUAAGUAUGUAUUAGCUGUCUCCCACCUAUGAGCUCCAAAUAUCAAAGCCUUAUUAGAGUAGGAUGGGAGAGAAGGCAGUGUCACUAUGCCUCAUACCACAAAUACCACAUACAUUGAGAGAAGGCAUAUACCAUUACUUCCUUGGUAAGGAUCCAGAAAUACCACAAAAGAGAGACUAGAGAGAGUCAUACAAGGAAUCUCUGAGUUUUAUUUGAAAAUCUACAAAAACUCUAGAGCUAUAGUUGAUCAAAGAACAAGAGACAUGGUGCUUAACUUGACCGUUCUAUCUUUUAACUGCUCAAGACACAAGUGACGGUUGCAAGCCCCAUGGUGGAAGGUAAUAUGAGUAAGUUUAAACGCAUGUGUACCCUUAAGGCAUGAAACCACUGCAGAAAUUCUUGAGUCCAUCCUUGCACAGGGACGAGAAAGAGGUAAGCUUGGGGGAGUUAUUGACGGUCCUUAAGUAGCAAAUAUAAUCAUCAAAUAAAUAAAGAAAAGGAUCCAAAUGCAACCAACACCUAGACUUAGGGUUUUAUCUGACAGAAUUCCAUGAGUUUUGGUGUUUGUCUAUUUCUGUAGGGAGUUAUCAGGAAAUAUGGAGGAAAGGCCCACACGUCGGGUUUACAUAGAGAUAUUAACGUGCCGCACAAUUUUCUAUCAUCUAGAAGACUCCAGAAGCCAUGGGAACAAAGCGGAAGCCGAGAGGGCUCAGGGACAGGGCGCCCGCCCACCUAUUUCGGCCAAUCACGUUCAACUUCGCGGAUUAUGCUCCACCGACCUAAAGGAUCAAGAAUAACCAUUCAAUCAAUGUCGGUUUGAUCCGACUGCCCAGAUUCACUUGAGGGGACUAUAUAACCAGACCUCCUAGCCCCAGGAGGAGACACAACCCCUUGAUCCCUAUUCAUUAUUCAUAGACAGAGCAAAAGCUAGGGUUUGGAGAUGAGAGCUCUCCUCUCAUCUCUAAACUAGAAUAGAUCUAGAUAGUAGCGAGAUGGAGAGCGAGGGAGGAUUGGAGGAGAGGCCGGCCUGUCAGUUCUUCCUCCGGUUGUACUUCGCCAUGAUCAAGUUCUAAUCAAGCUUGCUCAUGGGAUGACUUUGGUAAUCUACUUCUAAUUCAUUACGCAGUUACUAAUCAUGUAUGUUCUAGUUCACAAAUCUUUUGAGUACUUUAAUCUAUAGCACGCUAUAGGUGAGCGUUGUAGUAUAGGUGUAAGUGUGAUGCUUAGACCUAGAUUACUUGUGAAUAUCCCCUGUCUAGCUGGAUCGUGUGGUAGGCCGCGUAGGUGACAGUUACGUUGGUCCCCUGUAGUCCACCUCUUGUUAGCAGGACGGGUAGGGUUUAUCGGCCUAUGGAUAAGCAUCCUUUGUGGUGUAUUCUUAUCACGUGGUUCGUCCC